UACGUAGGAGGCAAGCGUUGUCCGGAGUUACUGGGCGUAAAGCGCACGCAGGCGGUCUUGUCAGUCUGUAGGGACAGGGCACAGCUCAACUGUGUCAGGCUUACGGAAACUGCAAGACUUGAGGGCUUCAGAGGGAUGGGGAAUUCCGGGUGGAGUGGUGAAAUGCGUAGAGAUCGGGUGGAACACCAGGGGCGAAGGCGGCAUCCUGGCACGGACCUGACGCUGAGGCGCGAGAGCGUGGGGAGCAAACGGG
rnacentral:rRNA from 1 species